rnacentral:rRNA from 1 species
CGCCGCGUGAGUGAUGAAGGUCUUCGGAUCGUAAAACUCUGUUAUUAGGGAAGAACAAAUGUGUAAGUAACUAUGCACGUCUUGACGGUACCUAAUCAGAAAGCCACGGCUAACUACGUGCCAGCAGCCGCGGUAAUACGUAGGUGGCAAGCGUUAUCCGGAAUUAUUGGGCGUAAAGCGCGCGUAGGCGGUUUUUUAAGUCUGAUGUGAAAGCCCACGGCUCAACCGUGGAGGGUCAUUGGAAACUGGAAAACUUGAGUGCAGAAGAGGAAAGUGGAAUUCCAUGUGUAGCGGUGAAAUGCGCAGAGAUAUGGAGGAACACCAGUGGCGAAGGCGACUUUCUGGUCUGUAACUGACGCUGAUGUGCGAAAGCGUGGGGAUCAAACAGGAUUAGAUACCCUGGUAGUCCACGCCGUAAACGAUGAGUGCUAAGUGUUAGGGGGUUUCCGCCCCUUAGUGCUGCAGCUAACGCAUUAAGCACUCCGCCUGGGGAGUACGACCGCAAGGUUGAAACUCAAA